CUGCACUGCUAAGUGACUGGACUUCCUCUAUCGUGGUCUUCCAACUCUCAUUCCAGUGCCAGAUGAACCUCAGUUUGCAGAAGGGUUGAGCUAAACCAUUGGCCCCUCCCCUUUCGAAGGCUGAGAACAAUA
rnacentral:snoRNA from 1 species